rnacentral:rRNA from 1 species
GGGUAACCUGCCCAAGAGAUCGGGAUAACACCUGGAAACAGAUGCUAAUACCGGAUAACAACAGAUGAUGCCUAUCAACUGUUUAAAAGAUGGUUCUGCUAUCACUCUUGGAUGGACCUGCGGUGCAUUAGCUAGUUGGUAGGGUAACGGCCUACCAAGGCGAUGAUGCAUAGCCGAGUUGAGAGGCUGAUCGGCCACAUUGGGACUGAGACACGGCCCAAACUCCUACGGGAGGCAGCAGCC